AAAUAAGAAGCAAUUUUGCAUUUAAUUUCGACUUAAAAGAAAGAGUUUAUAAAUAACUCCUUA
rnacentral:tRNA from 1 species